CGAAGGUAUGGCUGGUGAUUGGGAUGCAGUCGUAACAAGGUAACCGUAGGUGAACCUGCAGAAGGAUCA
rnacentral:rRNA from 1 species